rnacentral:rRNA from 1 species
GACGAAGGAUGCAAGCGUUAUCCGGAUUCAUUGGGUUUAAAGGGAGCGUAGGUGGCCUUAUAAGUCAGUGGUGAAAUCUCUGGGCUUAACCCAGAAAUUGCCAUUGAUACUGUAGGGCUUGAGUAUAGAUGCCGUUGGCGGAAUAUGACAUGUAGUGGUGAAAAUACAUAGAGAUGUCAUAGAACACCGAUUGCGAAGGCAGCUAACGAAACUAUAACUGACACUGAGGCUCGAAAGUGUGGGGAUCAAACAGG